GGUGUAGGCGGCUUGGCAAGUCGGGUGUGAAAUCCCUGGGCCCAACCCAGGAACUGCACUCGAAACUGCCUCGCUAGAGUCCCGGAGAGGGUGGCGGAAUUCCCGGUGUAGAGGUGAAAUUCGUAGAUAUCGGGAGGAACACCAGUGGCGAAGGCGGCCACCUGGACGGUGACUGACGCUCAGACCCGAAAGCGUGGGGAGCAAACA
rnacentral:rRNA from 1 species